AUGCAAGUCGCACGAGAACGCUUCAGCUUGCUGGAGCUAGUAAAGUGGCGCACGGGUGAGUAACGCGUGGGUAAUCUACCUCCAAAUUGGGGAUAACAUUGCGAAAGCGAUGCUAAUACCGAAUAAUAUCUCAAAAACUUCGGCUUUUUGAGAUCAAAGGUGGCCUCUCCAUGGAAGCUACUGUUAGGAGAUGAGCCCGCGUACCAUUAGCUUGUUGGUAGGGUAAUGGCCUACCAAGGCAACGAUGGUUAGCUGGUCUGAGAGGAUGAUCAGCCACACUGGAACUGACACACGGUCCAGACUCUUACGGGAGGCAGCAGUGAGGAAUUUUGCGCAAUGGGGGAAACCCUGACGCAGCAACGCCGCGUGAGUGAUGAAGGCUUUCGGGUCGUAAAGCUCUGUCAAGUGGGAAGAAUCUGCCCUGUGCUAAUAUCACCGGGCACUGACGGUACCACUGAAGGAAGCACCGGCUAACUCCGUG
rnacentral:rRNA from 1 species